UUUCACGAAACAAAAAGAAGUGCAGAGCGCGACUCAUCUCUAUUUUCAUUCUCACUGCUCUUUAUCUCCAUCACAAUUUUUAAUUUCUCCAUUCUCUUUUCUAGGGUUUACAAACUUCUGCUAUCUACAUCUUUCUCUCUCUUCAAUUAAGAUGCAAUUCUAGAGUUUAGCUGUCCCGGAAAUAUCAUCGGUUAUCGCGUGGUUCAGGCCAAAUCUCCUCCUUCCUCCAAUUCCUGCUCUCGCGAGGUGGUUAGUAAUUGCAUCAACUACAGUAGCAAUGAGAUUUACUUUGUUUCCAUUACUUGUUCUGCAACUUAACAAGUUAAGAAAGACAUUAGAGCUAUUUCUUAACUGUAAAUUCUUGUUUUUUUAGUUUUUGUUGUUGUUGCUGCUGUAUAUUUAGUUCAUAAAUGUGAAUAUUCCUUUUAUGUAUGCGUUAUUUUGUUUUAGUGCCUCUUCCAUUUCCACCUCCUGUGUCAGGAAAGAGGUUUAUGGAUCACAUUUCACUCUUCCACAAGGAAAGAAGAGCAAUUGGCUGCCCCUCAUAUUUAUGGUUUCUUGCUUAUGCCUCUGUUCAGAAGUGAAGCAUGUAAUAGCUGUGCUUUAUUUUAGAAAGAAAUGCAGCAAUGAUUCAUAAUGAAGCAAAAGGAUAUGCAUGAUGUAGGGCAACAAAGUUUUGGUAGAGUAAUAAAGAAGUUGAUUGGAGAAGGCAACUUCAAUUGAUUCAGGUUGGUUACUUAAUUCAAGUGAUUAUGGUGAAGGAUCUGUUGGUUCAGGUUUUUCGAGCUUUAAAUUAUAUAAUUAUAGAAUUUUACCUAAUAUCAUCUAUUAUUUAUACCAGUCCAAAUUGCAGGAGCUCCUAAAUAGUGGAAGUGAUUCGUUUUCCACUGUUAUAGGUCAGAGGCCUCCUAGUCAUGCAUUUCUGUAUGAAAGAGGGGUUACAAGAACCAAUUUGAAGAACGGAGUAGGAAGCUGUUCUUCAAUAAUUGUAUCUGAAGAGCUCACUGACAAGAUAAGGAAAGAACUGAAAGAACAAUUUGACAAGGAGAUGGCUGGUUUUGCAGGAUUUUAUGAAGAUAUUUGUGGAAAUGAUUUCAUAGCAAAAAAAGCGUUCAAUGUUUGUAGUAUAAUCGUUAUGUUUGAUGAAUAUUUUGGUGAACAUUUUCUUUUUGUGAUGUAAUGGAUGGAAAGAAUAUUUUGACUUUGAAUUUUAUGAAUAUUUUAUGUCUUCUAAUUUUAGUGAAUAUUUUAUGUUAUCCCAUUUUAGUGAAUGUUUUCCGUUUUUAAAUUUAGUCAAUAAUAGUUUCCGCUUUUAA